UCUCGACUCGUGGCGUCGUCGUGUGCGUCCAAUCCAAUCCGCUCCCCAUCGACCACGCCGACGAGUACCCGUCUGCUCCGCUCCGCUGCGCAGCUCGCUCCCUCCCGCCGCCGCCUCACCUCGCGCGCCAUGGCGGCGCCGCUGUACAGGGACGCGUCGGCGCCGGUGGAGGCGCGGGUGCGGGACCUGCUGGCCCGCAUGACGCUGCGGGAGAAGGCGGCGCAGAUGGCCCAGAUCGAGCGCGGCGUCGCGUCGCCGCGCGCCCUCGCGGAGCUCGGCGCCGGCAGCGUCCUCAACGCCGGCGGGAGCGCGCCGCGCGAGCGGGCCUCGCCCGCCGACUGGGCCGCCAUGGUCGACGGCAUGCAGCGCCACGCGCUCGCCUCCCGCCUCGGCGUCCCCAUCCUCUACGGCACCGACGCCGUCCACGGCCACAACAACGUCUACGGCGCCACCGUGUUCCCCCACAACGUCGGCCUCGGCGCAACCAGGGACGCGGAGCUCGCGCGUAGGAUCGGCGAGGCGACGGCGCUCGAGGUACGCGCCACCGGCAUCCACUGGACCUUCGCGCCCUGCGUCGCCGUCUGUCGGGAUCCGAGGUGGGGGAGAUGCUACGAAAGCUACAGCGAGGAUCCGGAGAUCGUACGCUCGUUGACCACCAUCGUCAGCGGCCUGCAGGGGCAGCUACCAGCAGACCACCCUCAUGGUUACCCCUUUCUCGCUUCGGUUAGGGAGAAUGUACUUGCUUGUGCUAAGCAUUUCGUAGGGGAUGGUGGCACGGACAAGGGGCUGAAUGAGGGAAAUGCCAUUUGCUCGUAUGAAGAUUUGGAGGCGAUCCAUAUGACACCAUACCCUGAUUGUAUAGCUCAAGGGGUGGCUACAGUGAUGGCUUCCUACUCUAAAUGGAAUGGGGAGCCAUUGCAUUCGAGUCGCUAUUUGCUGACAGAUGUUCUGAAGGGCAAGUUAGGCUUUAAGGGCUUUGUCAUUUCAGAUUGGGAGGGUAUUGACAGACUCUGUGAGCAUCGGGGGUCUGAUUAUCGCUAUUGCAUUUCACAAUCAGUAAAUGCGGGAAUGGACAUGAUUAUGAUACCUCACAGGUUUGAGAAAUUUUUGGAGGAUAUUGUGUUCUUGGUGGAGACAGGGGAGAUACCAAUGUCUCGUAUUGAUGAUGCUGUUGAGCGGAUUCUGAGGGUUAAGUUUAUUUCUGGAGUGUUUGAGCAUCCAUUUUCAGACCACUCUCUGCUGGACAUAGUUGGUUGUAAGGAACAUCGAUUGCUGGCACGCGAGGCUGUUCGCAAGUCUUUGGUACUUCUGAAAAAUGGAAAGGAUCAGAAGGCGCCAUUCCUUCCAUUGUCCAAAAAUGCAAAAAGAAUAUUGGUUUCAGGAACACAUGCUGAUGAUAUUGGAUAUCAGUGUGGUGGGUGGACGAUUGCAUGGCAUGGAGAUAGCGGGAAAAUAACUCUUGGUAUCCUGAAGAAUGGUCAUUUUUUCGGUUGAAUAACCUUGGUCCUGAAGAAACUAUUUCCCCCUUGACGCUUGGGAACUCUAGUUGUUAACUGAUUCUUGAUAAUUCAUAUAACACUUUCAAGUUUCAACUGCCAUGGUGAAAAGAAAUCAUAUCUUGUUGCUCUGGUACAAGCAUAUUGGAGGCCAUACAAGAAUCAUUGGGAGUGCAAACUGAAGUUGUGUAUGAGAAAUGCCCAACAGAAGCCACGAUUGAGAAUGGAGAUUUUUCCUAUGCAGUAGUUGUUGUUGGAGAGGUUCCAUAUGCUGAAUGGACAGGAGACAGAACUGACCUUAGUAUUCCGUUUAAUGGCUCUGAGCUUAUCUCCCAUGUGGCAAGUAAAAUCCCAACCCUAGUGGUUGUUAUCUCUGGCAGGCCAUUGGUUAUUGAGUCACAAGUUCUGGAGAAGAUAGAAGCUCUAGUUGCUGCCUGGCUGCCUGGAAGUGAGGGCAUGGGAAUUACUGAUUGCCUCUUUGGAGAUCAUGACUUUGUCGGCAAAUUGCCUGUGACUUGGUAUAGGUCCGUGGAUCAGUUGCCAAUAAAUGCUGGAGAUGCUAACUAUGACCCGUUAUUCCCUGUUGGAUAUGGCUUGAAAAUGUUUCAAAGUGAUGAUGAUUCAACAUAAUCUUAUCAUUUAUUUGGUUAUAUACAUUUGAAACUUUGUGAUGUUAUAUGCUCUGUACCAUUCACUAUUGCUUAAAGGGAAAUAAUAUCAUGUGGCAGCAUGCAUUGUAAUGCGUUAAAACAUUAUAUUCUUCUACUAGAUUUUAGUUACUCCUUCAAUCACCUUUCAACAUGAGUGCACUAAUUUGACUUCCUUCAAUUUCAUAUUACUAAUUUCCUUGAUUAGUCAAUGUUGCUUUGUUCAUUACAAUUUUUCUAGAUGGAAACUAUGAACACGGAGGAGCAAGGAUUGGUGCAUAUCAACAGAUUAAAGGUCAGGGGUGAUAUACAUUGGAGGUAGAAUUAAAGAGAACUAACAGUUGCUCUGAAUAACAUUUUUAAGCACUUAGCUCAUUCAUUUAGAAUCACAGUCCCACAUGAUGGUAAAAGAUCAAAGCACUGCAAAAUGGAUUCCUGUAACACAGCUCGUUUGGAAGGCUUUAGAGCAAUAAAAUUCUUCGAAAUUGAUCUCAUGACACGGUCAUCUUGUAGGUUGGUGCUGGUACUUUUUGGAAAUACGUUUGAACCCGAGUCUCUUCUCAUACUGCCAGUAUCCACAUUGUGCAAGCAUCACAUAUGUCAACUGAUUUGCAGGCAUAUGUCCUGUACAUAACAGUGGACAUCAUCUGAAUGAAAGAAAACAGUCUGGAGAAGUGGUACAUGAAAAUAUGCUACUGCAGUCUGCAGUUGCCAUGGAUCGUAACUUGCAGGUAACCUGUUCCUGCAAUCCUGUGGAAUGGAUUUGGUUAGUUUGUGGAUUACUUUAACAUACUGCAAGGAUGAAUGACAGGAUCUUUAAGUGAAGUUUCUUUACAAGACCAUUUGAGUAGCCCUGCACUUUGUCCAUUUCUUAAUGAAAUUACUGAACAGCAACUUGUUAGGCUCUUCUUAUGUAUUUGUUUGGUUGGUUUUGUGCUUGUAGGCAUACAAGUUUACUGUAAGAGUGUGAAAUUAUGAAGUGUGAAUUAACAGGUGGUAAGAAAUGUAGCUAUGUUAUCCAAAAGUUUGAUUUCAAUUGCCAAA